UUUCCGUAGGUGAACCUGCGGAAGGAUCAUUAUUGAAUUUUAAUGAAGAGAUUUGGUUGUAGCUGGCCCAUCAUUUUGGGCAUGUGCACACCUUUCUCUUUCAUCCACACACACCUGUGCACCUGUGAGGCAGAUGGGGAAUUUACUGAUUGUUUUUGAAGAACAAUUGGUGUUGCACCCUCUGUCUACUCAAUCUAUAUAAACUCAAAUUAUUUAAAAAUGAAUGUAAUGGAUGUAACACAUCUAAUACUAAGUUUCAACAACGGAUCUCUUGGCUCUCGCAUCGAUGAAGAACGCAGC
rnacentral:misc_RNA from 1 species